rnacentral:rRNA from 1 species
GACGAACGCUGGCGGCGUGCCUAAUACAUGCAAGUCGAGCGGACCGAAUGGAAGCUUGCUUCUGUUCGGUUAGCGGCGGACGGGUGAGUAACACGUGAGUAACCUGCCCGUAAGACCGGGAUAACUCCGGGAAACCGGGGCUAAUACCGGAUAACACCGAAGACCGCAUGGUCUUUGGUUGAAAGGUGGCUUUUGCUACCACUUACGGAUGGGCCCGGGGCGGAUGAGCUAGUUGGUGAGGUAACGGCUAACCAAGGCGACGAUGCGUAGCCGGCCUGUGAGGGUGACCGGCCACACUGGGACUGAGACACGGCCCAGACUCCUACGGGAGGCAGCAGUAGGGAAUCUUCCGCAAUGGACGAAAGUCUGACGGAGCGACGCCGCGUGAGCGAAGAAGGUCUUCGGAUCGUAAAGCUCUGUUGUUAGGGAAGAAGAAGUACCGUUCGAAUAGGGCGGUACGGUGACGGUACCUAACGAGAAAGCCCCGGCUAACUACGUGCCAGCCGCCGCAGUAAAAC